rnacentral:rRNA from 1 species
ACGCUCGACACCUACGGGGAGGCAGCAGGUGGGGAAUAUUGGGCAAUGGGCGCAAGCCUGACCCAGCAACGCCGCGUGAAGGAAGAAGGCCCUCGGGUUGUAAACUUCUUUUAUCAGGGACGAAGCAAGUGACGGUACCUGAUGAAUAAGCCACGGCUAACUACGUGCCUGCAGCCGCGGUAAUCUGAGCGGGCUGGCAAGGC